rnacentral:rRNA from 1 species
UACGAAGGGGGCUAGCGUUGCUCGGAAUCACUGGGCGUAAAGCGCACGUAGGCGGAUUGCUAAGUCAGGGGUGAAAUCCUGGAGCUCAACUCCAGAACUGCCUUUGAUACUGGCGAUCUUGAGUCCGGGAGAGGUGAGUGGAACUGCGAGUGUAGAGGUGAAAUUCGUAGAUAUUCGCAAGAACACCAGUGGCGAAGGCGGCUCACUGGCCCGGUACCGACGCUGAGGUGCGAAAGCGUGGGGAGCAAACAGG